AUGUUUGCGAAGGAGAUUUUAAUUUUCACGCUCGUGGGUUUUGUGUUCUCACAGCAGCCUGCAGCUGUUGAAGACCCAACGGUCCCACCUUCAACCAAUGGCAUCGCUCGGCUGGCGUCUAGCUCGGUGAGGGGGGUGGGCACCCUUCUGGACAGCGGGGCGCACGCGACGGCCUCCGGGGUGGAACUGACGACCAACUCGAUGGCGAACGGGGUGAAGACGCUGGGCGGCGCCGCCGACCUGGCCAACAACGUCCAGCAGAUGAAGUUCGACGCCUUGCGGCAAGCCCGCCACGCGGCCGGUCGAUUUGGGGCGUCUCUGGCGGACCUGAGCAUGGGCGCCCUCACCGGAAUCCUGCGAAGGGGCGCUGAGGCCGUUGAUGCUACCAGGCGCGCUACUGAGUUCGUCCUCGGUGAAUCGGAUAAGGUCCAUGGUGCUAGCAAGAGGGUCGCCAAGUCCCUCGUGUCCAAUACGUCCGGCAGUUUUGUGAAUGUCCUCAACGGGGUUGGCAAUGUCGUCGAUAAGGGUGGAGAAGUCCGCGAAGAGGUUGCCGAUACUGCAGGAGCCAUCCACGAUGCCAGUACCGAUUUGGUGAAAGAGGGGGUGCGAACUUGGAAAGACCUUGGUCUAUCGUCCAUAGGAAGCAUUAGAGCGGGCAUGCAGGAGGCAAGGAAAAGGGCCAGAGGAGGACAACUCCCAGAUGCAACCACGAGUCCAUCAGCGCCAACACCAGUGAAAGAAGAGCCGAAAAAACCAGCAGAGGAAACCAAACCGAAACCAGGAAAUUGGUUUGGAUGGUGAUCGAGAUAUUCUAAUUUGAUCAAUUCGUUUUUUCGAAAUCUGUUCGGAAGUUUUUAAAAAAUGAGGCGCUUUUUUCCUGCUUCGUGUCACAGGCUAAACUUGUUUACAAGAAUAACGGGGGAGGGGGCAACAUAAUUAAUAGCAAUACAUACUUCAAAUUCUUACAUUCUCAAGUUAUCUAUGCAGUUGAGAUGAAACAAAAAUGUUAAAUUUUUUCCUCUUUUUUGAUCGAAUAAAUAGAAUAAAUUCACAUUUUUUGGUUAACUAUAACAUUAUUAUAUAUAUAAGGUAGGCAGCCAUUUUGCCAAGUUUAACUGAAUCACACCAACAAUGGGGGAGAAGUAGUUUGGAGUACUUUCAAAUUCUAGUCGUGCAUUAUUAAAGCCCGUUAAAAAUUCAAAGUUGAAAAAAGUUGAGAAAGAAAAAAGUUUUCAAAAUGUGUCUUCCACAUAGAGUCCUAUGGAGGAAAUAAACUUCCAUAAUAUUUUUCUCGAUGAAAACUUCAUUUGAAACUUGGUGUGCUUUUGUUAAACUCGGCCCAGUUGAUGUCUCAAAGGAAGUUCCUAAAAUGUAUAUAUAACUAUAAAUUUAAUAAUGAAGUUACUGUACAAUGAUUUAUAAAUGACUACGAGUUUUCUAUUUUCCAUGCGUUCCCUUCAUUUGAGCUUUUGCUACUUUUGAUAUUUUUUAAAAUCUCUUCUCAAAGCGGACAUGGAAAAAAUUAUGGUAAUUUAAAAUAUAUGUUCGGCUAAUUUUGGCAGCAGCCAUUAGUACAGUUUCACCAGCCAGAGCUAUGAUUGCUAUGUGCUACCACAUUUUCGUCUGACCAAACAAUACCUCUAGCUAAUGCAAGUAGACGCCUAUUUGGCGCCAAAAUCCAUCCAAAAUGUAGUCGGAAUUACCAUAAAUUCUCACCGUGAAGGCUUUGUUCGCAGUAGACAGUCGCAUAUCGAGCGUAAAUUCAGAUAUUAUGCACUGCAGGCUGAUUGUCGAAAUUGAUAGACAAAGCUAUAGACAAAGACGACAAAAGGGAUGUAGAGAGAUCCUAUUGGUGGAAGCGGGUGGUUGCAAUAGACAAAGGAAAUAGGGAAUAGACUAACUAACGGCAACCCACGAGAGACCCGAUAGUUAGUCCAUCAUUAACCUCCUUAGUCUAUAAGAACCACCCAUUUCAACCAAUAAGAUCGCUCCAUACCCUCCAUGUCAUCUUUGUCUAUAGCUUUAUCUAUCAAUUUCAACAAUCGGCCCGCUGCCAUGCUAAAAAGAACACCGCACGAGCCAUCAGGCGUUGCAAAAUUGAGAAUUUGCAGGUGUCUGAAAUUUGAUGAUUUUCGUGUUAAAAUGGAAACUACUGAGUGAAUUGAACACGAGGAUACCCUUGGUUUAUGAUUUGAACAAUUAUUGGAGAAGAGAUGACAAAAUGGUCUAAUUUGCUAAGAUACAUGUGUUUAAACGCGAAAUGCCGCCGGAUGACGUUACUAUGUGGUGCAACAUCUCGAUUUUAAAUCUUCUUUAUACUAUUUCCUGUAUCAGAAUUUAUUUUAAAAUAUACUGUGAAAUCAGCUGUUUAAGCACUUUCAGAUGAAGUAAUACAAAAUUUGCGUGCAAAAUUUCCAUUUCCCUGACAAAUCGAGAAUUUGCAGAAAAAUGUGUGAAUAUUUCACUUCCGAUUUUUUAGAGGAUUUUUUUCUUAAAUUGAUCUUAAAAGUCUGAAAAUUUUAAAGAAAAAUGUUCUUAACUUUCUUUUAAAAUAAAUACUUUCUGAG
rnacentral:lncRNA from 1 species